UGUGAACAAAUAACUCAUCUGGUGUCACUU
rnacentral:piRNA from 1 species